GACGAACGCUGGCGGCGUGCUUAACACAUGCAAGUCGAACGGAAAGGCCCUGCUGUUGUGGGGUGCUCGAGUGGCGAAAGGGUGAGUAACACGUGAGUAACCUGCCCGUGACUUUGGGAUAACUUCAGGAAACUGGGGCUAAUACCGGAUAGGAGCUCCUGCUGCAUGGUGGGGGUUGGAAAGUUUCGGCGGUUGGGGAUGGACUCGCGGCUUAUCAGCUUGUUGGUGGGGGAGGGGCUUACCAAGGCCUUGACGGGUAGCCGGCCUGAGAGGGUGACCGGCCACAUUGGGACUGAGAUACGGCCCAGACUCCUACGGGAGGCAGCAGUGGGGAAUAUUGCACAAUGGGCGGAAGCCUGAUGCAGCAACGCCGCGUGCGGGAUGACGGCCUUCGGGUUGUAAACCGCUUUCGCCUGUGACGAAGCGUGAGUGACGGUAAUGGGUAAAGAAGCACCGGCUAACUACGUG
rnacentral:rRNA from 1 species